rnacentral:rRNA from 1 species
GUAGGUGGCAAGCGUUGUCCGGAAUUAUUGGGCGUAAAGCGCGCGCAGGCGGUUUUUUAAGUCUGAUGUGAAAGCCCACGGGCUCAACCGUGGAGGGUCAUUGGAAACUGGAGAACUUGAGUACAGAAGAGGAAAGCGGAAUUCCACGUGUAGCGGUGAAAUGCGUAGAGAUGUGGAGGAGCACCAGUGGCGAAGGCGGCUUUCUGGUCUGUAACUGACGCUGAGGCGCGAAAGCGUGGGGAGCAAACAGGAUUAGAUACCCUGGUAGUCCACGCCGUAAACGAUGAGUGCUAAGUGUUAGGGGGUUUCCGCCCCUUAGUGCUGCAGCUAACGCAUUAAGCACUCCGCCUGGGGAGUACGGCCGCAAGGCUG